AUGAAAAUUAUUAGUUGGAACUGCCGGGGACUCGGGAAUGGCCCGACAGUUUGCUCUCUUCUCGUAUUGGGAAGAAUGGAGGAUCUCGACAUUUUAUUUCUAUGUGAAACAAGGCUGACAGAGAAAGAACUUGAUAGAUUCAGGUGGUUGCUUGGGUUAACUAAUAUGGUGGCAUGGAAGGCGGAAGGGAGGAGUAGGGGGUGAUGUUGUUUUGGAGGCGGGGGUGUCAUGGUUCUAAGACUGACAAUAGAAUGGGAGGUAGGUGUGAGGAGGCAAGAUCCCAGCUAUGAUGAAGUUCUAUACACAAGAUUUAUGAGUUCAGGCCCUUCACGGUGGAAGUAA
rnacentral:rRNA from 1 species